UACGUAGGGUGCAAGCGUUGCCCGGAUUUAUUGGGCGUAAAGGGCGCGUAGGCGGCUCGGCACGUCCGUUGUGAAAUCGCCCGGCUCAACUGGGCGGGGUCAGCGGAUACGGUCGAGCUUGAGCAAGCUAGGGGGCAAUGGAAUUCCCGGUGUAGUGGUGGAAUGCGUAGAUAUCCGGAAGAACACCGGUGGCGAAGGCGGUUAGCUGGGCAGUUGCUGACACUGAGGCGCGACAGCGUGGGGAGCAAACAGG
rnacentral:rRNA from 1 species